UACGUAGGGUGCAAGCGUUAAUCGGAAUUACUGGGCGUAAAGCGCGCGCAGGCGGCUUCUUAAGUCCAUCGGUGAAAUGCCGGGGCUCAACCCCGAGCCGGCCGAGGAUACUGGUGGGCUCGAAUCCGGGAGAGGGAUGUGGAAUUCCAGGUGUAGCGGUGAAAUGCGUAGAUAUCUGGAGGAACACCGGUGGCGAAGGCGGCAUCCUGGACCGGUAUUGACGCUGAUGCGCGAAAGCCAGGGGAGCAAACGGG
rnacentral:rRNA from 1 species